rnacentral:rRNA from 1 species
UACAGAGGUCUCAAGCGUUGUUCGGAUUCAUUGGGCGUAAAGGGUGCGUAGGCGGCGCGGUAAGUCGGGUGUGAAAUCUCAGAGCUCAACUCUGAAAUGGCACUUGAUACUGCUCUGCUAGAGGACUGGAGAGGAGAUUGGAAUUCACGGUGUAGCAGUGAAAUGCGUAGAUAUCGUGAGGAAGACCGGUGGCGAAGGCGGAUCUCUGGACAGUUCCUGACGCUGAGGCGCGAAGGCCAGGGGAGCAAACGGG